rnacentral:rRNA from 1 species
AGCAGCCGCGGUAAUUCCAGCUCCAAUAGCGUAUAUUAAAGUUGUUGCAGUUAAAAAGCUCGUAGUUGAAUUUCGGGAUCAAGGAAUCGGUCAUGCCUCGGUAUGUACUGGUUUUAUUGGUUCUCACCUUCUAAAGAACCAUGAUGUCAUUCAUUUGAUGUUAUGGGGAAUUAGGACUGUUACCUUGAAAAAAUUAGAGUGUUUAAAGCAGGCUUACGCUUGAAUACAUUAGCAUGGAAUAAUGAAAUAGGACAUCAGAUUCUAUUUUGUUGGUUUCUAGGAUCGAUGUAAUGAUUAAUAGGGAUAGUUGGGGGCAUUAGUAUUCAAUUGUCAGAGGUGAAAUUCUUGGAUUUAUUGAAGACUAACUACUGCGAAAGCAUUUGCCAAGGAUGUUUUCAUUAAUCAAGAACGAAAGUUAGGGGAUCGAAGACGAUCAGAUACCGUCGUAGUCUUAACCAUAAGCUACGCCGACUAGGGAUCGGAUGAUGUUUA